GGGAAUGUGGUUUAAUGGUAGAGUGCUUGCCUAGCAUGCAAGAAGCCCUGAGUUCAAUUCCUCAGCACUA
rnacentral:tRNA from 1 species